UUGGUUUCUCACAGCACAGCAGCCGGGCUCUGAGAGGGCGUGUCUCAGGAGAAAGUGUGCUUUCCAGGAGGCCAAGGAAGAAGCUGCAAGGUUCCUUUUGGCCUCACCCCAGAAGUCACGGGGAGUCACGGGGAGUAACCUCUGCUGCAUUCUGUUGGUACAGACCUGUCCCCAGUCAAUGAGCUUUUCAGUGGCCAGAGGGUGACCUCCAGAGUAACAUUCCUGCACUCAUUGCUUCUCAGUGUUUGUCAGAAUGAAACCCCUUCUUUGUCCAGGAACCUCUGAUUGGAGGCCCUCGGAGCUCCUGGGGUCUGUGGAUGCUGGGUCUUGGAGUGAUUUCCGGCCCCGGUGAACAGGUCCUGCCGAUGUCCGAUGUCGGGCCUGCCUGCCCGGUGUUCCUGCCCACCGCUACCUUCCAGAUGGGCCAGCUCCCAGCACCUGCUGCCUGCCAGGCACUGCGCUCAUGUUGGGGACCCAGAAAUAAAUGAGAGACAGCCGCUGUCCAGUGGAAGGAGAAAUGUGAGGCCUUAACCGCCACCCAAGAGAGGACCCCUGAGUCAAGGGCACAUCGAAUGAGGGUCAGAAUCACACAGAGAGGGGAGGGCCUAACUCAGCAACAAAAAGGAAAGAACCAUUGAUACCGGCAACAUCAUGGAUGAAUCUCAAAAUCAUCAUGCAGAGCAAAGAAGCCAGACACAAAAGAGUACAGACUGUGUGAUUCCAUUCUUAUGACGUUCUAGACCAGGCAAAGCUGUGGGUUAUAUCCAGAUAGAAAUAAGACCAGUGGUUGCUUGGGAUGAGAGGGGCUGGACUGGGGACGUGAGGUGCUGGAUGUUCUGAGGGACGUUCUGAGGAUGAGGAAUAUUCUGAGGUGGGAAAGAUGUUCUAAACCCGGGUAGGAGUGUGGGUUACACAAGAACAUUCGAUAGCUAAAACUGACCACACUGUACACCCAGGAUCUGUGAAUGUCAUCAUAUGCAAAUUAUAUCUGUGAUGGGCAGCACUCCAAAUAGCCCUCAGCAAGCCCUGGUGUGCUCCCCCUUGUGCAAUCACACACACACACACACACACACACACACACACACACACACACACACCCCGUAUCAGGUAGGUCUGUGUGGCCGAUAGGGUGUGCAGAAGGGAUAGUAUGUCACUGCUGAGAACAGGAUACUGGUCUCUUUCUCUCGGAUAGCUUGUUCUGGAAGAGGCCAUGCGUUGAGCAUCGCUAUGGAGAAAUAUGCUCGGCAAGGAACCGAAGCAUCCUGCCAACAGCUAUGUGCGUGAACUCACAGACAGAAAACUGAGACCCAGAACACGGAGGCAACUGCCAGGAUCAUAGAGCCACCAGGGUGUGGCAGCUUUCGAUUCAAAUCCAGAUCUAAUUCCCAAAGGAAGAGGCAGGCGAGCAGCACACCCAGGCCGGAGAAUACUUCUCUCAUCUCUUCCCUCUGAGAACAAGCCACACCUUCUGCCAUCAGAGAACAGGCCACAGUCUCCACCCAGACUCCCCAGCGUGAGGAUAGAAAGAGACUGGAGGGUGAUGUCCACGCCACCAGGAGUGUCAGAGGUCAUGGGAACUGAGACCCAGAGAGGGAAGUGACUUUUCCAAAGACUCUCAUCUAGUGCUCGUGGCUCCACACCGCCCUGCCUCUCAAGGACAGCUUUGGGGUAGGGGACAGAGAGAAAAAGGGAAGUCAAAGGUAAGGACGACAAAAUUGAGAUCUCAUCAUUUGGGUCAACCCCACAAUGGGUAGGAUCUACAUAAACCAGUGUCACAGAUGGUCCCAGUGAGAGCCUCUGCAGCCUCAGGGGCCUCACAGAAAAGCUCUGAGAGCAGUGCCUGGCCUGUGGCAGGGCCUGAUGAAAAGCCCUGCACCAUUCAUUUGCUGUGACCUUGCGUUGCCUCAUUCAUUCAUUCAUUCAUUCAUUCAUUCAAUAAGUAUUUACUGACCAUCUGCUAUGUGCUGUUUUAGGAGCUUGGGAUAGUUCAGCGAACACAAGAUCCUUGUCCUUAUGAAGCUUAAAAUACAGAGGUUUCCUAUAUCAGUUCUAAAGUAUCCUACAUGUGAAAGGUGCUGUAAGACAGGAAAAAGUAAAGGAGGGUAAGAGGACCAAGAGUGAGGACAGUGUGUAUGGAGCAGGUGGGUUGAAAUUGUAAAGGGUUUUAGCUAUCUCAGGUAGGCCUCUCUGAGACUGCCUCCUUUGAACAAAGACUUGAAGGAGGUGAGGGGUGCCUUAUACAGAGUGAACCAUAUGGAAAUCUGGAGGGAAGACAUUCCAGAUAAAUUACACAUUGAUUAUAUAUUAGGAGUGAAAGGGAAUUAUGUCUGCAACUUACUCUAACAGUUCAGAAAAAAUAAAUUAUAUAGAUAUAGAGCGAUAGUAUGUAUGUGUAUAUAGACAUGUAAAUAUACAUGUGCGAGGUGUACCGGUUACUAAUGCGGAUCUUUUUCAAUAGAUGGAGUUACACAUCUGUUGACAUAUAUGCGAUUUGAUACCACUUGUCCCGAUUGAUGGCACAAGCACUUUCUGAGCAGCACUUCCAAAUGUAUGAAGAAGUGGAAAAUUGGGGCUCUGAAUGGUUUGCCUCAAAACAAGAAAAGUUCUAUUGGGACGCUAUCCACAAAUUACCCAAAAGAUGGGGGGAUGUGUAGCUAGUGGUGGACGUUACUUUCA